ACACUUAAAAAAAAAAACAAAACACUCUUCUCUCCUCUCAAAAACCCCCCACACAUCAGGCCUAUAGGGCCACCAUCCGUCCAUCAUGGCUACCGACCGACGACGGCGGUGAUCGCUGUGUACGGCGGUGGAGUGCAACCCAAUGGUGUCAGAGAAGCGUGGAGGAGCGGUGCGCGAGGUGGCUAGGGGUAGGCCUAGCAUGCGGUGGCUGAAGCUCUUAGGGGCUAGGGUUUUUUGCUUUCUGAAAAUGUUAAGAGUGGGCUAGGGUUUAUUUGUUUUGGGCUUUGUAAUUGGGUUUUAACUAUUCAACUGGGCCAGGCCAAAAUUGGCUCAUUACACCUUACAUAGUAAGGAGAUAAUCUGUCGUAAUUUGAUACAUUAAAUUAGGUUCUUCAAUACAUUUAAGGAGUAUUCUCAAGCAAUUCAAGUAUUUUUUCUAUA